UACGUAGGGUGCGAGCGUUGUCCGGAAUUACUGGGCGUAAAGAGCUCGUAGGUGGUUUGUCGCGUUGUUCGUGAAAACCUGAGGCUUAACCUUGGGCGUGCGGGCGAUACGGGCAGACUGGAGUACUGCAGGGGAGACUGGAAUUCCUGGUGUAGCGGUGGAAUGCGCAGAUAUCAGGAGGAACACCGGUGGCGAAGGCGGGUCUCUGGGCAGUAACUGACGCUGAGGAGCGAAGGCCAGGGGAGCAAACGGG
rnacentral:rRNA from 1 species